rnacentral:lncRNA from 1 species
GUUAUCAUUUGUUCCUUCCACCACAAUUACUCAUUUCAGAACUGCAUUUUAUACCUUGCCAGUGAAUUGGAUCACAAGAGGUUGCUCAUGAGUUUUUGCUUACAUGUGUAGUAGGAGACUAGGAGCUCAAAAUGUCACGAAAAGCUAUCAGUAUUGUUCAUGGUGGUGGACGAAACUCUGGAUGCUAUAUUUGGAGAUGUUGAUAACAUUUCCCCAAGACUAGAUAUAUUAUCAACUCUUUAUUUCCCUUGGCACUACUUAAUGUGACACCAGUAUAUUUCCAGAGAUGAAAAUAGGCUACAAAGUUCUUUGUAAACAUUAAUGCAAAACUCAACAGAGUAACCUGAAAUCAAAUGUGUGGCUAAACAAGCAUUUAUUCACAGUCGAACCACAACCAACCGGAAACUCCUUCCCUUAGCAAGAUUUAUUUGCAGCAACUACGCCCACGCACACACAAUUUUAUUUUUAACUCUAUUUUUUUUAAUUGAAAUAACUCAUGAAUAAAAUAAGCUGUCCUUGUGAAAAUUUGUAUGCAUUGAGCAGUCAAAGUGCACUACUUGCUGGUAUAAGACAAACCAUUAUAGUCUUUACAUAAAGGAAUAUAUUCAAUGGUAAGUAAAAAAUACACAUUACAAACAUCUGUAGUACAAAUUUGUAUCUAAAAACCAGUUACAGAACCUUGGUAUUGUUAAAUAGAGUAGACUUUAAGCUUUAAGAAAAUGCUAAAAUAUUUUUUGUCCCAUAUUAGAUAAAUGAAAUAUAAGUGGCAUAAAAUGUUAAUAAUUAUUCUGUACUAGACAAUUAUGACCCAAAAA